UUUAAUGUCUUAUAUUGUAAGUCAUAGAAAGUUAUUAUUUAUGUCCAAGUAGGUAAGACAUUAAAAUAGUUGGGUGACGUUGAAAAUAAAAUAUACGGGAGACUUUUUAUAUCAUGUCUCUAACGUCUCCUAUGAGGAGACUCUAAAUGUUAAAAAUAAAAAAAAUAAAAAUAAAUCAUAUAUAUGACAUGUCUCCAUGUGGUAGACGUGCAAUCUUGUUUACAUUAAAAAAUAAAAAUAAUGUCAUAUUAUUAAAAAAAAAAUAUGCCAUGAAUUUCACGUAUGGUGGGCCAGCCCAUAUGCCUAAUAAACCACAUAUCAGUUCUAAAAGAACCCUUUCUCUAUUAUAAUCCUAACACAAUUUUCUUUCUCUCAUCAUUCCUCAAGUUGUAGCCUAACCUCUUUCCUCUAUCUUUUUUUUAAGACUCUCUCCCUCUAUCUCUUUUUCACCCCACCCACUCUCUCAUGGUCACUCUCUCUCAUUCUCAUCAAGUGAAGGUGGAGACGUGGGUUGCUCAUCGUUCGUGGGGCAGAAUAACGUGGUUGUCAUUCGUUGGUCUGCGCUUGCAGUGCGCAGAGCGGAAGAAUGAAAGCACGGAUGGAAGAAAUCAAGAGAAUGGUGGUGGCUACUAGCUAUUAUGGAACUCAAUAAAGUUUAGACACUUUCAUUUUUUUUUCGGAUUAUGUAUUUUGGGAUUUGAUAUUCUGGUUAUUAAAAAAUAUUAUAAGUAGCAAUUUAUGUUUAAUAUGUUGGAUUUAUUGAUAUGUAGUUGUAAAAUUAUGGUAACAUUUUUUGUUC